ACCGGGUGACCGGAUGCCGAUCUCGAAAACCUGUCCCAGUUCGGACUGGAGUCUGCAACCCGACUCCACGAAGUUGGAUUCGCUAGUAAUCGCGCAUCAGCCAUGGCGCGGUGAAUACGUUCCCGGGCCUUGUACACACCGCCCGUCAAGCCAUGGGAGCCGGGGGCGCCUGAAGUCCGGGACCGCGAGGACCGGCCUAAGGCGAAACUGGUGACUGGGGCUAAGUCGUAACAAGGUAAC
rnacentral:rRNA from 1 species